GGACAUCUAAAAAAGUUGUCCCCUAUUCUUGUAUAGAAGACCAAUUUGGGGACGAAUUUUUCUAUUUAAUAUACAAUUGAAGUCUUUGCAGAAUAGGGGACAACAAGCUAUUUUUUUAUCUAAAUUAUUUACAUUAUCUAAUCAGUGAAUUGAAGUUUAAAUUGUAAAAAUGACAAUGAUAACAAACAAUAAUUCUUCAUUUUAUCUCUUCUUUUUUAAACCUAAAAAAACUUUUCUCUGGCCGCCGCUGCCCGUAUUGUGAGCCACGCUGCCCUUUUUCUCUUUGCCGCCGCUAUCACCGUUUUUGCUGCUGCUGCUUUCCUACCGCCACUCGCCGCUUGACGCUGAUGCCUACUCCAUUGACUCCCUUUGCUGCUGCCUGCUCCUUUUUGUUUCUUCUAUUACCUUCCGCAAUCGUGGUUACUCUUCAACAGGCUGCUCUUAUAGAAACAGUUGAAAAUUGAAAUAUGAAAAAUGAUUUACAGGUGCAGAAAGAGGCCGGUCUAAUUUUUCUUUUUUUUACAGAAAUAGAGAAUAAUAAAGAUUUGUGUCACCGAAAAUGGAUGACAUAUGAUCCGGUGAAGAUUAUCGUUCACUGAGUUCAUAGUACCUUUCAUUUUUUGAACAUUACAAUUUAGUAUACACUUGUAUCUACAAUAACUUUUUAAUAGUGAGUGGUGUAGUACUAUCUAAUGUUAUAGUUUUUUUAAAAAAUUUUGGAUUCUUGUAAUAUAUUUGUCUUAAAUAUUUGUUUGUACUA